UACGUAGGCAGCAAGCGUUGUUCGGAGUUACUGGGCGUAAAGGGUGCGUAGGCGGCUUUUUAAGUCUUGUGUGAAAUCUCCAGGCUCAACUUGGAGUCUGCACGAGAAACUGCCGGGCUUGAGUGUGGGAGAGGUGAGUGGAAUUCCUGGUGUAGCGGUGAAAUGCGUAGAUAUCAGGAGGAACACCUGUGGCGAAAGCGGCUCACUGGACCACAACUGACGCUGAGGCGCGAAAGCUAGGGGAGCAAACAGG
rnacentral:rRNA from 1 species